rnacentral:rRNA from 1 species
GACAGAGGUGCCAAGCGUUAGGCGGAAUCACUGGGCUUAAAGCGUGUGUAGGCGGGUGCCUAAGUACCUUGUGAAAUCCCCCGGCUCAACCGGGGAACUGCUGGGUAUACUGGGUGCCUUGGGUCAUCUAGGGGCUGCCGGAACAAAUGGUGGAGCGGUGAAAUGCGUAGAUAUCAUUUGGAACGCCAACGGCGAAAGCAGGCAGCUGGGGAUGCACCGACGCUGAGACACGAAAGCCAGGGGAGCGAGCGGG